GGUGAACGCUGGCGGCGUGCUUAAGACAUGCAAGUCGAACGGCAGUCUUCGGACUGUAGUGGCGCACGGGUGAGUAACGCGUAACUGACCUACCCCAAAGUCGCGGAUAACGAUUCGAAAGAAUCGCUAAUACGUGAUGUGCUGUCAGAUCGUGUUCUGCCAGUAAAGAUUGAUUGCUUUGGGAUGGGGUUGCGUUCCAUCAGCUAGUUGGUGGGGUAAAGGCCCACCAAGGCGACGACGGAUAGCCGGCCUGAGAGGGUGGCCGGCCACAGGGGCACUGAGACACGGGUCCCACUCCUACGGGAGGCAGCAGUUAGGAAUCUUCCACAAUGGGCGAAAGCCUGACGGAGCGACGCCGCGUGAGGGAUGAAGGUCUUCGGAUCGUAAACCUCUGAAUCAGGGACGAAAGACACUUCGGUGGAUGACGGUACCUGAGUAAUAGCACCGGCUAACUCCGUGCCAGCCGCCGCCGUAAAAC
rnacentral:rRNA from 1 species